GAAGGACAAUCCCACUCCGAUGUUUGGACAGCUUCAGACCAGACCCAGUGACCAGAUUGCCUUAAUUGGGGUCCUCUCCAAAGAAGACGCUGACCCAAGGGUUCAAGAGCAAGCACUUUGUUAAUGGAGGAACUCCCAGAAACCCAGGUGGUGGACACGAGAGAGGAAAAGCGAGGAAGCUAGGGAAGAUGUGCUCUCGGGCCAGUUUCUCAGACACAAAUCUGGGAUCCACGGCUUCAGAAAUAUCCCGCCGGAGGGCAGUCACAGAUGAAUGUGCAGCGGAGCGCCUCGUGCAUGUGGCCGUUAACUUCUACAAAACAUGUUACUAUUAAAAAUAUGAUCCUUUCCCAUGAUAUUUUCUAACUGGAUUUCUAAUUUCUAGAAAAGAUGAUACAAAUUCUUUUGGUUUCUCCAGGCAAACAAGUAAAUCAUCUGGGACCACUGGGUGGGUGAAUUUAUCCCAGUAUGACCGAAGACAACACACUAAACAAGUGACAAAGCAAAAUAUAACAGCUAUUCUUUUCUCUGCCCUUCUCACUCUAAAGCAGUCAAGCUCUUUCUGGCUCAGCGCCUCGCCCGUGGCCCAGAUCUGCACACCAAGGCCCAAGAACUAGCCGGCGAAGGUAAGGCCCUUA